ACUGGAAUGGCUGGGUUAUGUAGUAAGUAUAUAUUUAAGAAACUGCCAAACUAUUCCCCAAAGUGGUUGUACAUUUUACAUUACCACCAGCAGU
rnacentral:pre_miRNA from 1 species